rnacentral:rRNA from 1 species
CACGUAGGGUGCGAGCGUUGUCCGGAAUUAUUGGGCGUAAAGAGCUCGUAGGCGGUGUGUCGCGUCGGCCGUGAAAACCUGCAGCUUAACUGUGGGCUUGCGGUCGAUACGGGCAUCACUGGAGUUCGGCAGGGGAGACUGGAAUCCUGGUGUAGCGGUGAAAUGCGCAGAUAUCAGGAGGAACACCGGUGGCGAAGGCGGGUCUCUGGGCCGAUACUGACGCUGAGGAGCGAAAGCGUGGGGAGCGAACAGG